GAUGUUGGGUUAAGUCCCGCAACGAGCGCAACCCUUGUUCCUAGUUGCCAGCAUUGAGUUGGGCACUCUAGGGAGACUGCCGGUGACAAACCGGAGGAAGGUGAGGAUGACGUCAAGUCAGCAUGCCCCCUACGCUCUGGGCUACACACGUGCUACAAUGGCGCGGACAAAGGGUUGCGAGCGCGCGAGCGUGAGCCAAUCCCAAAAACCGCGUCUCAGUUCAGAUCGCAGGCUGCAACUCGCCUGCGUGAAGGCGGAAUCGCUAGUAAUCGCAGAUCAGCAUGCUGCGGUGAAUACGUUCCCGGGCCUUGUACACACCGCCCGUCACACCAUGGGAGCUGGCCAUGCCCGAAGUCGGAGCACCCGCCGAAGGCAGGGCUGGUGACUGGGGUGAAGUCGUAACAAGGUAGCCGUACCGGAAGGUGCGGCUGGAUCACCUCCUUU
rnacentral:rRNA from 1 species